rnacentral:rRNA from 1 species
GAUGAACGCUGGCGGCGUGCCUAAUACAUGCAAGUCGAGCGAACAGAUAAGGAGCUUGCUCCUUUGACGUUAGCGGCGGACGGGUGAGUAACACGUGGGUAACCUACCUAUAAGACUGGGAUAACUUCGGGAAACCGGAGCUAAUACCGGAUAACAUUUGGAACCGCAUGGUUCUAAAGUGAAAGAUGGUUUUGCUAUCACUUAUAGAUGGACCCGCGCCGUAUUAGCUAGUUGGUAAGGUAACGGCUUACCAAGGCGACGAUACGUAGCCGACCUGAGAGGGUGAUCGGCCACACUGGAACUGAGACACGGUCCAGACUCCUACGGGAGGCAGCAGUAGGGAAUCUUCCGCAAUAGGCGAAAGCCUGACGGAGCAACGCCGCGUGAGUGAUGAAGGGUUUCGGCUCGUAAAACUCUGUUAUUAGGGAAGAACAAAUGUGUAAGUAACUGUGCACGUCUUGACGGCACCUAAUCAGAAAGCCACGGCUAACUACGUG